UUACUUCGUGUAAUGACCCAUCCACUCCCAGUCUUGAUUCAAGCCUAAUGUAAUGGUGUCCAGUUGGCAAAUUAAUUCCAGUUCACACUUACCACCUAUUAAAAAGUUUAGAAAAACCUGCAUCACUAUCUCCACUCAAGUGGCCUGUUAUCUCUUGCUGGUGCUGCCCUUUGAGUGAUACUUCAUUGAAAGGCUCCUAUUGGAGUAAGCAGAUUAGGAACAAGAGCAUAUGGGACCGUUGAAAGUUAGAGUUGCAAGUUCUGUUUAAAAAUAAAUAGAAUUUAGCUGUCAGCCUAGACACUUUGAUUUCCAAUUCCUUCUUGUUGCAAAGCUGCUUCUUUCAGCCCUCCUUUGUUAAAAUGACAGCUCUGUCAGUCCUUUGUUAGAUUUGACAGUUUUGUGACUUACUCUUUAGGUCUAGAUAAUCCGUAUAGAAAAGUACAUUAACUAAAGUUUGUAAAGGGCCAGGAUAUUGGGAAUGUCACUUAUCGGAUACUAUUGCAGAAGUAUUGAAAUCAAUAUACUGGACAGCACCAUCGCCUCUCCACCCCUUCCAAGACUCAUCACUAGCUGAAAGAAAAAUGUAUAGGUGGAGAGCGGUGGCUUUUCUUUGAUUAGUUGAGAACUAAUAAUUAGUGUCUCACAUCUUGGGGGGGGAAACCAAUAUUUCUAACAGGCUUUGACUGUAUGCUCAUUUCAGUUUUUCUUAGAGUACCAUAAAAAUAAGUUAAACAUUGAACUGCUGUUUUUCCAUUUAAGGGAUAGGCAUGUUUUUUUUAUCUGACAAUAAAUAAUCUAGUUAAGUAGACAAACUAUGGGAGACCAAAAUAAAUACCGAGGCAUAGCUCAGUGGUUUGAGCAUUGGCCCGCUAAACCCAGAGUUGUGAGUUCAAUCCUUAAGGGGGCCAUUUAGGGAUCUGGGGCAAAAAUUGGGGAUUGGUCCUGCUUUGAGCCGGGGGUUGGACUAGAUUACCUCCUGAGGUCCCUUCUAACCCUGAUAUUCUAUGAUUGCCUUAGGUCUCAAAACAUCAACAGCAGAAAAUGGUUCCACAGAGUCCAACCUCCCCCCUGCAGAGACUUUUUGGUUUUUGUUUUGUAAUGGGAAUUCUGCUCACUUAACUGUAUGGCAGAGAAUGAUAUAACUACUUGUGGGGUGGGGAACAUUACAAAUAUUCCUUCUCUCCUCUUAGGGAUUAAUGACCACUCGUAAAAGCUUUUUACAGAUUAUGGUAGUCUUGCGAUGUCAUAAUGUGAAGUUCUCAUUGCAUACUUAUUUCUACAACAAAAGCUAGUGUUUCAUUUUGAAUGAACUCUAGUUUUGCAGGCAUUUGGUGACGAGAUCCCUGUAUGUCCUCAUCUGUCCCUUCUUCCCAUCCCUCAAAUCUACUACUCAACUAUGAGUUCCUGCUCUAAUGGUUAGCCUUGGUGGUUGAAAAAGGAGUAGUCAAUAAGGGCCUGACCCAAUGCCCAUUGAAAUCAAUUAGUGGUUCCAUUGAUCUCAAUGUGUGUUUAUCUCAGGCCCUUAUCGACUGCUCCUUUUCCAACUAUCAAGUUUUCCUUUGGGGGUGACAUAUUGGUAACCUGACAUACAGAUAACUGAAGAGGCACAGUUUUUGUCAUUUUAGAUAUAUCUGACAGAGCUAAGACGACUACCUCUCUCUGAGCAAAGGUGCUGCAUUUGAGGUGGCAUGCAGUGUGGUGGGUUCCUUCCACAUCAGCCAAAAUCAGCAGGCAGUGAAAGUUAAUACCUAUAAUACUAUUUUAUAGUCAAAACUGCUUAGCACUUUGAAAUGUCAAAUCUAUUUGGCACUACCCUACUGAAGACGAACUGGAGCUGUGGUAUAACUGAGAUGGGGAAACUGAGGGACAGUGAUGGAACCAACUUACCCAACGUCACCCACCAGGCCUGUGGUAGAGUCAGGCAUAGAAGCCACAGUUCUUGUCUGUGCGUUUUUUGGUGUUUGUUUUUUAAGAGGGCCUAAUGUAUUUAGAUAGAUGUAGCCUUCUGCAGUUGUUUGGUUUAGCUUAAGUUAACUCAGUUUUGUGCUGAGUAUGACUACCCCUGAAUGGAACUGUGCAGGAAAAAUAAAUGAACUCCAGAGCAAA